CUCUAGCCGAGAGAGAGAGCCAUAAAAAAACAUCCUCAGCACCUCAAAUCACAUAUCGACAUACUGAUCCAAUAUUUCAACUGUCCAAACACAGGGCUUGUCUUUCCAUCCCAGCUGGGGGCUGGAGGGAGGCAGAUAUGGGUGGAGAGCUGCAGGGAUGUAGACGGAGGCUGUGUUGAGCUGCUCUCUCCCUGAGGAGCCUCUUCUGCCAGCCCAGUGCCACAGAUCAACAGUCAGCCAGCCAGCCGUGCACUGACCUCAUCCCUCACUCUCUCUCUCCCUCUAUUUCUGUCUCCCUCUAUCUCACUCUCCCUCCAUGCCAGAGGCACUUGCUGUCCCCAUGUCUCCUUCCUACGCCAACCGCCUGUCCUGCUACCAAUGGAGAGCGAGAGAGCGUUUGACUGGCUCCUCUCAACCAAAGGCUGCACUGUGCGCUCACUCGGCAGUCAAGGACAACUCUAAUAGAGGUAGAACAAAAGAAAAGGGGAGAGGGAGAGGGGGAAGGAGAGACCUAUCGAGAGAAACAAGCAUGCUGUGGUGCAAGGGUCUUUGAAAUUAUACAUAUUGUAAAAUAAUAAAAGUGUGUAAUUCCCUUUUCAGCGGUGCUGACUUUUGCCUUGCACCACUGUCCACAGGUGGAGAGCUAGAAAGAAAAGAAAUUUCAAUCUAUGUCUAUUUUGCAUAUCACACAGCUCAAUAGGCAGCUUUCAAAGAACGAUUCACCACUUCCCUUGGGCAUUGAGAGCCGUAUACAGUAUAUUCAUUAAACUGAAUAUAGUAUGUAUGGUCAACAUUUUCAACAACAGAUCUCCACAGUUUUCUAUCUUUCUAAUGUGUUAUACAUUGCAUUCAUCUUGAUAUAUUUAUCAUUUUUCUCAUAAUCUAAUCCUGUGUAUUUCUUAUCCUUGGUGAAUUUUUGGUACAUUUCUCUACAUUUAUUAUUCUUUCUGUGCAGUGUCCUGUUGUUAACAGUUGUUUCAUGAAUUAAAUCUAAAAAUUCAA